AACGCACAUUGCGCCCUUUGGUAUUCCGAAGGGCAUGCCUGUUCGAGCGUCAUUAUCAACCAUCAAGCGUGGCUUGUCGUUGGACCUUGUGUCGUUGGAAAUACACGACAGGUUCGAAAGAGAAUGACGGAGUCUGUUUGACCCUAGAUGCAACGAGCUUUUCACAGCAGGCAUUGAUGUGGUGGACAGGCCCGGCCGUAACCAUUAUCUCAAAGGUUGACCUCGGAUCAGGUAGGAAUACCCGCUGAACUUAA
rnacentral:misc_RNA from 1 species